rnacentral:rRNA from 1 species
AGCGAACGCUGGCGGCGUACUUAACACAUGCAAGUCGAACGAGGAUCGUCGGUGUAGCAAUACAUCGGCGGUUCUAGUGGCGCACGGGUGAGUAACACGUGGGUAACCUGCCCUUGAGUUCGGGAUACCCUCUCGAAAGGGAGGCUAAUACCGGAUACGAUCCUCGGAUUGCGAAAUCUGGGGAGGAAAGGUGGCGCAAGCUGCCGCUCUUGGAGGGGCUCGCGGCCUAUCAGCUAGUUGGUGAGGUAACGGCUCACCAAGGCUAUGACGGGUAGCUGGUCUGAGAGGACGACCAGCCACACGGGAACUGAGACACGGUCCCGACUCCUACGGGAGGCAGCAGUGGGGAAUUUUCCGCAAUGGGCGAAAGCCUGACGGAGUGACGCCGCGUGGGGGACGAA